UCAUUAUAAGUUGCACAUGUCAAAACUCCAUAACUCAGCAGCAGAGUUCCUGCAUUAUAACUCGAUGCUUCCUCAGAAACUUUCUUGAUAAGUUAAGGCAUGAUGGUGGAAUAGGUUUGAGCUUUUUAUUGUCGAGUCUGAUUGGUUUCCAUAACUUUCUCUGAUGUGUUUGUAACUGGUGCUUUUGAGGCAGAUACAUGUACGUGUAAUUAGCUGGGGAUGGUUUACACAUGAUGAGUUUGUCUACACUGAAGAAGAUCGCAGCUUAUGGUGGAGUGGUAUCCGUUCUUGGAGCUGGCUAUUUCUUUAAGAGGAUUCAAGAUGGGCUUGCUGCGGGGUCGUACUACUCACAGUCCAUGAAAAUUCUCAGGGAACACCCAGGAGCGUCGGAGGUACUGGGCCACCCGAUACGAAGCAAGUUCCUCAACCUUGGAGAUCCUUUCAAUGUAGUCAAUUCAGCCGAAGCAAAGCUUGCCAUACCAGUCAAAGGUAGCAAACGGAGAGGAACUCUGUACACAUGGUCUGACAGACAAGGGCUAGGAUGGGAAGUCAGAAAGUUACAGCUACAGUUGAAAGGCACAGAGAGGAAGGUGACAAUCUAUGCUUUGGGGGCCAGCACACUGGACGGAAAUGUGGACAACCGGGACACGACUGAGAUUCUGGACGACUGACCUAACGGCAAGUUACGGCCAAGCUUCAAAUUCACCGGUUUUGUGUGUUUCAUCCAAUCGUGUGACCUUCGAGGGAUUGACGGAGCCGGUGCAGUGAAGCGGCAACCGUGCGACGUCUCAACGCCGGGGCUUAUCUGCCAACUCGAGGUCCAUCCCAGUCAAACCGCUUUUUGCAACUCAAUGCCUAACACCGAUGUUUCAAUACUUGUGCAAGCAUUCAGAUCGAGGAUGAAAUGAUUUGUUCGUAGGUGAGUGAUUUUUUGUUGACUUAAUAUGCCUUUACCCAGUGUAUGUUCACUCAGGCGCAAGACCCCCUUUUCUGCCCAGUUCAAUACUCCCGUGUGUGUGCGUUGCGGCAGUGUGGCUGCAUGGGCAUGACAGUAACUCGCAAUGCUUCGCAGUUAAGCUCUGAGCGUUUCAAGUUAGUCCACUAACCGUGGGUUAACAAAGGUCAUCGCUGGAGCUUAUCCUCUUGUUGGAGACAUAGGAAGUGAAUCAAUUUAUUAUUAUGUGAAGCACUUUUAACCCUCCUAUGCAAAGAUGCAUUCUCGACAAGAUUGUCCUAUCAGUCAAAUGAUCCAUAUGGUUCCGUGUACUGUGGCAAAUCAAGUGGAAUGAACUUUUGAUUGUCUGUGAUUGAUACGGCAAAGGAAUUAAAGAAUAUUGGCGAUUCACAAAAGUGCACCUCCGAGAGUUUGUAACGCGUUGGUAAUCACAGUGCGCGA
rnacentral:misc_RNA from 1 species